AUUGAACGCUGGCGGCAUGCCUUACACAUGCAAGUCGAACGGCAGCACGGGUGCUUGCACCUGGUGGCGAGUGGCGAACGGGUGAGUAAUACAUCGGAACAUGUCCUGUAGUGGGGGAUAGCCCGGCGAAAGCCGGAUUAAUACCGCAUACGAUCUACGGAUGAAAGCGGGGGACCUUCGGGCCUCGCGCUAUAGGGUUGGCCGAUGGCUGAUUAGCUAGUUGGUGGGGUAAAGGCCUACCAAGGCGACGAUCAGUAGCUGGUCUGAGAGGACGACCAGCCACACUGGGACUGAGACACGGCCCAGACUCCUACGGGAGGCAGCAGUGGGGAAUUUUGGACAAUGGGCGAAGGCCUGAUCCAGCAAUGCCGCGUGUGUGAAAAAGGCCUUCGGGUUGUAAAGCACUUUUGUCCGGAAAGAAAUCCUUGGCCCUAAUACGGUCGGGGGAUGACGGUACCGGAAGAAUAAGCACCGGCUAACUACGUG
rnacentral:rRNA from 1 species